CUCAUUCGUUGUGCCGAAUGUCGACUCAAGAUCAGACUUUCUGUCAAAUCCGACUAAGGGAUGAUGGUGAUAGUUACUGGUUGGAUGCAAAAUGUGGGGCCCUACCCAAAUAGCCGGGAUAUCAUAACGACUCCUCCUAAAAUGGCUGCACGGGCUGUUCUGAUCUGUAGGCCAAAUUCUCAUCCAUUCCAGGAACGCUCGCUGGUUCUUGACCAGCCAGUGAAAAUUGGUCGAUCAGUUGCAAGAGCCCGCGCAGCCCAAAACAAUGCAAUCUUUGAUUGCAAAGUGUUGUCCAGAAAUCAUGCGCUGUUGUGGUAUGAAAAUGGAAAGUUUUACCUGCAAGACACAAAAAGUAGCAAUGGGACUUUUGUCAAUAACCAACGUUUAAGUAAGAGUGCUGAUGAAUCUCCACCCCGUGAAGUUUGUUCUGGUGACAUUGUACAGUUUGGUGUUGAUGUGAUGGAGAAUGCCCGUAAGGUGACGCACGGCUGUAUAGUAGCUACAUUGAAACUCUACUUGCCCGAUGGGAAGGAAGCGAAGGCAAGUUCCUCAACAUCAGUCGUGAGCUCUAUUGGAGUGGUUCCACUUGAAGAUCUGUACCAGCUCAACCAGUACUUACAGGAUGCUUUGCAACGUGAACAGUUGCUUGAAAACAAACUUGCCACUAUGCAGAGGCUCAUGGAGACAACGCGACAAGCAUCAGACAGAAGCUGGAGAGCAUUGAUUGAUGAAGACAGGUUACUCUCACGUGUGGAAAUACUGGAGAGUCAGUUGCUUGUAUACUCAAAGAAUUACGGAGAAGAUAAACUUCGAGAAGAGCUACGAAAACUGCAAGAAGAUAAAAGUCAGUACCUUGGUACAGCCAAAGAAUCAUUACGAAGGAUUCUUCAGGAGAAAUUAGAUGCAAUUACUAAAUUAGCUGAUCUGGAAAGAACUCUGAGUAACACUGAAGAUGAAGUUGACCAUUUGAAGGAUAUGCGAGAAAGGAGCCAACAGGAACUUCAGGAGCUAGCUCACAAAUACACUACUCAACUUCAGAAGGUCGAAGACUUGGCAUCCAAAUUGCAGGAGACUGAAGAACAACACCGUGAAAUAUGUGAGCGGCUAGAGCAAGAGAAACGAGAGUUGUCUGCCCAAGUGGAAGACCAGUUGUACUCGGAGGCAGCACUCCAAGCAAGGCUUGAUGCUGUUACUAAAGACAGUGAUCUUAUAUCGCAGCGACAACGUGCAUUGCUUCAAACAUGUCUUAACAACAGUCAUUCAAUCCUUGAUAUGAAAGAGAACUCUGAGACAAUGAAGGAGACUGAUUCCACUGGUACGCAGGUAGACCUGAUUUUAGAAAAGAUAGUUCCUGAUCGACAGACACAAGAUUAUUUGAAGGAUGCAGCAGAUAAUAUAAAAUUUCAGCUACAAAAGACAGAAGAUGCUUUACAAGAAAGUCAUGCUGAAGUGCGCCAGCUGUAUGUUAAACUGGAAGAUGCACGUUCUCAAGAAGACUCGCUGUUAGAUAACGUUCACCAACUGGAAGAAAAUUUAGCAGCUCUAAGGAAACAAGUUGACAAAACUCCUCAUGAUAACUCUCAGACAAUUGCCCAGGUGAAUGCUAAUCAGAACAACAAAUUAAAAGCCGAAGUAAUUAAACUUGAAGAAGCUCUGUGGAUUUCUCAAUUGUGGGUUGACCAGUAUUCCUGCAUGGUGGUAGUUUUGAAAGAACUGCUGAGUGAAGCACGGAAUAAAGCACAGUCUGCUGAGGAACAAGUAUUACUGUAUCAGAAGGAACUUGAAAAUGUUCAGCAGAAAGUAAAGAGCUUAACGGAAGAGGCAACUAUUCUUCAGCAGCAACAUCAGGUGUAUCAGUUCAUGGCUGAAAAUAAAUCUGACACUGUGGGAAAAUUACAUGAAACUAUAAAGCGACUGACAUUUGCAAGAGAUCAGCUGCAGCUGGAAGUUCAUAAACUGGAGGAAAAGCUCCAAGUGGAAGUAGCAGCUUCUCGUCAUCAUAGUGAUGAGUCAGAGCGCUUGCGAAAGCAACUUGUGGAAGUGCAGCAGUGUGUGAAGCAAGGACAUAAUGAGGCAGAAAAAAUGAAGGAUAGGCUGAAUGCUCUUCAGGCUGAAUUAGAUGCACGUAUAAAUGGUGCAGAACUAAUGUCUGACAAUAAAGAUAAAGAGGAAGUUCAGCAGCUAUCCAACCGAUGCAUGAUCCUGGAAGCUGAAAAUCUCAGGUUAAGAGCGGAAUGUGUGAAGUUGAACAAACAGUGCAGUGACCAAAUUCAAAUUCAGGAAGAAUUGGAAGCACUGAAAUCACAUUUGUCAAGUCAUCCUAUUGGUAACUCCUUAGAAGAAGUGGAUGAACUUAAGAACCAGAGGUCAAAAAUGACUGAGAAGGUGAAUUGUCUUGAGGAAGAACUUGUGCUUGUGAAAGAGAGGUAUGCAAAAUGCAAUGAUGAACAAACUCGUCUGAUAAAAGAACUUGAAAUACUGAAACAAGACGGUGGUAGUUUGCUUAAUCAGACAUAUGCUGUGCCUGUUCACUUAUUUGUUUCCAUGGCCUUCGCUGUUAUGGCUAUUGUGAUGGUCAUUAACCAGUUGGUGUGACCACAGUUAUUAGACCCUUCAUCCUAUCCUAAAUAAUCCAUUAUCUUUAUCACCAUUACAGCAAUACUCUAGGCCAGCUUCUAGCUUAAGUCUGCCAGUCCACAUUGAAGGCUUUGUGGUGUGGAUUGGUACCAUUCAUCAUAGUGUUCCUGGGAAUUAUUUUGGCGUUCUAUCCCACAUUGUCUUUCUUCAUGGGUACAGCUGAUUCGCCACUUCAACCAUAGUGAAGAUGUACAAGAACAGUGUGUUAUGAAUGAUUCCAACUGUACAAGGAAAGCAUAAUGCAUAUGAAAUUUUGUUAGCAAGUGUCUCAGGGGUCAAGAUAAAAUAAUUUAUGUGCUUUAAUAUUGCAAUACAAGAUGAUAUUUUUUUUCAUCCACUGUUUAAAUAGAUUUAAUGAUGUAGGACCUCUUUUAUGUAUCAUGAAAUAUUUUAGUUGUAACUGUUUUUUAGUCUGUAUUAUAUGAUGAGUAUUAUGUUAGUAGCAUUCUGCUUCUGAUACUUUCUAAACAUACUCCUGUUUCAUUUGGUAAAACUUGUUUAUGUAUAAUGUUCUGUCAUUGCAUGACUUUUUGAUGUUGUAUUACUCAUACUUACUUUUUGAAUCUGUCUGCUUGUUUGUACACUUGUUUGUAUUUUUUGCUGCUUUGGUUUGUUGUUGUUGUUGUUGUUGUUGUUGUCAUUGUUGUUGCCAUUGCUGUUGCUGUUGUUAUUGUUGUUAGUCUGAUGUAUUUGUUUUAAGAAAAAGUACAAAAUUGGAUUUUCGAGUUUUAUAAUUUGGCACAAAAGUUUCUUUCUAAGAGGUGUGUGUGUGUGUGUGUGUGUGUGUGUGUGUGUGUGUGUGUGUGUGUGUAAGUAAUAAUUCAUUUGUGGGGAAAAUUUCUACACCCAGCUGUAGCUAUAUGGAACAGUUGUCAGAUGAAAAUUUAAAGUACUUAUGUAUGUAGUGCAAGAACUGGCAAAGAUUAAGUGGAGGUGACAGUUGUGGUAAUGAUUGUAUCUACAACAAAAUCAUUGCUGCUUCAAUUUGACAAAACAGUGAGGAAGAAAUUGGUGAUGACUAUAAUCAAGGAAUCAUUCUGAUAUUUGCCUGAAGUGAGCAAACUUAAAUUGGCACAUGGAAUGAAAAUUAAUCCAGAUCCUCAUGAACACAAGUCUGUUACCUUAGCUGAGUAGCAUAUAACUUGGUUGCAAGACAAGGACUGUGUCAUUGAAGCACAAAUUCUCACUCAUAGAAUUUUUUCCCCUAUUAUGUUGAUGUUGCAAUUUUAUUUUGUGGAUAAAUAUAUUAUUUUAACCAUUUCAGUUCACUGAGAAUAUAUGGAACCCAAUGCAUUUUUGUGCUAAUAUUGGUAAUGAAAUUCAGUAUGUUCUGUUCUGGAUUGUAAUCUUGUGCCAACAUAUGAAGUUAAAUGUUUUGGUAAUAACAACAUAAAACUGUAAAAUGUAGAACUAAUGCUGUGUGUAAAGUUAGUAACAGUAAGUUACAAUGAUUAUAUCGUGUUAUUUUAAUUUUUUUUUUUUUUUCCAUUGAGAAGCAAAAACGAUUCACUCCUUCAGUUUGAUUAUGUUGUAAUCGUUUGUUUUAUAGUGUAUAACUCCAAUUAAUAAUCACAUAACAUAAUGUGUGCAACCUCUGUAGAGACAUUUAUAUUAAUAUGUUAUCAUGCACUAGUUUGGGUAAACGUUUGUUUAAGAUUUGUAGACAAUGUUGUGGAAUGUUGUAGAAUCAUCAUGAAAUUUAUAAUUUUAUACCUUUUUAAUACCAGCAAAGCUUACAGUGGCUGAUCAUUACUGUAAUAAUGUGGUAAACUGUGUGAGAAGCACAAAAGUGUAAGAGUAUUCAGGAUGUAUUUUAUGUACAUAGAGAAACUGUAUAUAUACAGAAAAAAGCAGGGGAAAAAGAAAAGAGGUAUGUUCCUGCUAUACGACUGAGUAAGCCAUCACUGUCUUGCCGUAUGCAAAAGAAGUUAUCCAUUUGUGAUAUUCACUAUGGAUCAAAUAAAAUGGGUGUGUGUGUGUGUGUGUGUGUGUGUGUGUGUGUGUGUGUGUGUGUGAGAGAGAGAGAGAGAGAGAGAGAGAGAGGAAAAAUGCAAACAUGAAGCUCUACCUGGUAGAACUCUGUAAUAUUUUAAUUGAGAAGUAUGACUUGUAAUUCCCGGGAGUGGAUGGUUUGCCAAAUCUUUUUUAAGUAUUUGUGUGGUGCUGUGUUCUGUAAAAUGGUUAGUUCUCUUUUAUAUAUAAGCCAUGUAUUUGGAAUACCAUAGCAAAGAAAGUAUGUGGUUGAAGUGUGUUUCUCCUCAUGUCAACUUCCACCCUUCAAAAAGAGUAUUUGAAAUGGGGUUGGCAUAUUGAGAUUAUUGAUUGUAGGCUGUAGUAUUUUUUCUAACAGUAAAAAAUGAAAGCUAAACAAGAUACUGGUUUGAUAUAGGAUCACAGAAAAUGUGCAUUGGAUAGUAUUUCUUGAAUGCUAGACAUUAUUUUGUUGUUUGUGAAGAUAGUAUUUUAUAUUUAAUUAAACAUAAUGAAUUCCUAAAUUGAAGUGGUGUAGAGAUAUGUUACCUCUCAAGGUGCCUUUUCAGUUUUCACUGUCCCAGGGUAUGAAGUUUACUGGUUUGUCCAGAUGUGGACUUGAAUAGCCUAAGUUAAUACCAUUGCAUGAUGUGUGAUAGUAUUUUUCCCCCCUCUCAACAGCGUUAAUGAAGAAAAUUGCUGUUAGUGGUGUGUACCAUUAACUGUAGAUAUUGUUAUUAUUUUAUUUAAAUGUAAAUAUUAUAAAUUUUGUAAGUAACUGUAUGCUCAAAUUAUAUGCCAUCUGCAGGAUUGCUUUGUGUCUAUGUACCUGCAGUAAGAAUGUCAAAUUUCGUGAUUUUUCUUAAAAAUGUUUGUAAACAUUUAUUUCAACAUACAAGGAAAUUUUAUUUUAUUCAACAAUAUGUAAAAUUAUAUAUUUAAAAUGAGCAUUUUUGUUUACUGUUUUAUAGAAAUACUUAAAUAUUGUUACUUGAUAUGUUAAAUUCAUGCCAUUGUUUUUACAGUUCUGUUCAAAGAAGGAAGAUUGACAAGAAAUGUAAAUAUUUUGUGAACUUGAAGUCAUAACUUUAGUAAGUUAGUAAUUCAGGAUGAAUUACUAACUGUCUUACAGAAGUCUAGUCCCAAAUUUUAAAUCUACAGAUUUAUUUAUUGAAGAAUGAUUAUGUUUAAAAGUGCUUUACUUUUACAAGAAACCUACCAAUUGACUCUGUUAAAUGUUUUGUACAUUGUGUUAAACAAUUACAUGAUUGCUAAUACUGUUUGUGAUAAUGACAGUUUUCUUUUAUGUCCCUUUUAUCAACUGCUCAAUUGCAGUACAGUUUUUGAGAAAUAAAUGAAACAAGGCAGAAGCUGUUCUGGAAGUGCCUCAAUUAAAACAAACUGUAAAAGAAAGAAAUAAAAAUACAGUUCUCAUCAAA